rnacentral:ncRNA from 1 species
GCGAUCCCACGAGGGUGAGCUAACCCCAAAAAAGGGUCGCGAUCCCACGAGGGUGAGCUAACCCCAAAAACCCGUCCUCAGUUCGGAUUGCAGGCUGCAACUCGCCUGCAUGAAGCCGGAAUCGCUAGUAAUCGCCGGUCAGCCGUACAACGGU